rnacentral:tRNA from 1 species
GGAGAUAUAGCUUAGUUGGUAGAGUGCUUGUAUCACAUGCACAAGGCCCUGGGUUCAAUCCCAGCACCACCA